GCGAAGCUGGGCUGAAAGGUCCUCCCGUGCAACCACUGCUGCAUCUUUCUCCAUGGCCACAUCCUUGAGUGCUUUUCUUAAAGAUGGUACAGUAUUCUGCUCCUUUACCAAAUCAUUUAAGCGCUUCAGCAGUGAUUCAUUUUUUGUUUGAAUCUUCAAGGAUAACACCUUGUUGCUUUCCUCCAAAUCUGCAUUCUUUUUCUGCAGAUC
rnacentral:misc_RNA from 1 species